CCUACGGGAGGCAGCAGUGGGGAAUAUUGGACAAUGGGGGCAACCCUGAUCCAGCCAUGCCGCGUGUGUGAAGAAGGCCCUCGGGUUGUAAAGCACUUUCAGUGAGGAAGAACGCCUGGUGGUUAAUACCCAUCAGGAAAGACAUCACUCACAGAAGAAGCACCGGCUAACUCCGUGCCAGCAGCCGCGGUAAUACGGAGGGUGCGAGCGUUAAUCGGAAUUACUGGGCGUAAAGCGCGCGUAGGUGGCUUGAUAAGCCGGUUGUGAAAGCCCCGGGCUCAACCUGGGAACGGCAUCCGGAACUGUCAAGCUAGAGUGCAGGAGAGGAAGGUGGAAUUCCCGGUGUAGCGGUGAAAUGCGUAGAGAUCGGGAGGAAUACCAGUGGCGAAGGCGGCCUUCUGGACUGACACUGACACUGAGGUGCGAAAGCGUGGGUAGCAAACAGGAUUAGAUACCCGGGUAGUC
rnacentral:rRNA from 1 species